CCUACGGGAGGCAGCAGUGAGGAAUAUUGGUCAAUGGACGAGAGUCUGAACCAGCCAAGUAGCGUGAAGGAUGACUGCCCUACGGGUUGUAAACUUCUUUUAUAUGGGAAUAAAAUGUUCCACGUGUGGGAUUUUGUAUGUACCUUAUGAAUAAGGAUCGGCUAACUCCGUGCCAGCAGCCGCGGUAAUACGGAGGAUCCGAGCGUUAUCCGGAUUUAUUGGGUUUAAAGGGAGCGUAGGUGGAUUGUUAAGUCAGUUGUGAAAGUUUGCGGCUCAACCGUAAAAUUGCAGUUGAAACUGGCAGUCUUGAGUACAGUAGAGGUGGGCGGAAUUCGUGGUGUAGCGGUGAAAUGCUUAGAUAUCACGAAGAACUCCGAUUGCGAAGGCAGUUCACUGGACUGCAACUGACACUGAGGCUCGAAAGUGUGGGUAUCAAACAGGAUUAGAUACCCGUGUAGUC
rnacentral:rRNA from 1 species